GAAACGCGACCUCGGAACUGAGCUGGGCUAUACCGCCCCCUCCCUACCGCACCUUUGCGAUCCGAUCCGAUCCGUUCCGCACCCUGCAGUGGAAACGCGGCAUUAGAUGCCCAUCCCACGUAGAUGGGCAAUGGGGUUUCUCUGUCUUUGUGGUGACGCACAGUAGUACUACCCGCUCUGCGACGGAUAGAGCUAUUGUACUGCAACAACUGGGCUGUGCUGAGGGUUGCUUUGGGUAAACCAUCACCUGAUUGAGACUUGAUGUUGGGGCCAUCGAGGAUCAUGGCCACCAAAGACAACAGUGACUGAGGUACUGAUUUUACUUGGCAGUCCUCAUCAAAAGAACCUGUGAAUGUAGCUUCAGUUACGAACAUAUCUCUCCGUACUAUCUUCGCUGCCCUUGCAAGACAUAUGGCUUCGUCAUCGUAGUCUUCUUUGCAGACUUUACGGAGGGCAGGUCCUACAUCUUUAUCAAAUGCAAGUAGUAUAUCACGCCCUUCCUUAUGAGCCGUAAGGUCUGGGAAUUGGGCCAGGAUGCGAUUUUUUUACUUUGUGCUAUGUGGUCUUACAUGCUGCUCCACUCCAAGUUGGUCUAGAGACGAUUCGAAUAAAGUUUGACGAGAUCUGCAAGUUUAAAGACAGGGGCAUGCUCUUCAUCCAUUCUUGUUUCAUCGAUAAAUGACAGCAACUCGGCUAGUGCAAUCCCAUGGUUGACUUUAUCAGUUGUGUCCAUCUUCUGUUUAUCUUGCUUUGUUGUAAAGUGAAACGAGACACCUUGGAUGAUAUUUAGCAUCUUGUGUGACCAUGUCCCCAGCACUCAAUUUUGCAAGUUGCCUCUCAUCCUGCAGCUCUAAUGCACAUCUUCGUACGCGGGAGUCUAGACGAAAAGUUGAAGCCUGCCCUCACGGAGUGAUUCGGAAGUCGACGCGUCUUCGCAUAAAAAACAGACAUCCGAUGCUAGCACUUCAUGAUGAGCGACUUGACGAGUGUAUUUCUCGGAUGUAGUAGCAUCAGGGUCGCAAUCCUUUGUGCAUUUCCUUUUUUCUGCUCGUUGUAAUUUUGUAUUAUUGAAUUUUGUAUGGCAGGAAUUGUGCCACCUGGCAUUGUUCUCAUGAAACGUAGCUUCAAUGCCAUUUCCCUCAUCAAGGCGUCCUAAUUCUAGCGGCAUCGGUAAUUCGUGAAGUUCAUUGAAACGUCUGAUUCUGGAGCCAAUGGUAGAAUAACCAACUCCAACAUCGUGCCGUUUUGAUUCUGUUUGGCAUUGCAAACGCUCUGGUGUGAUUGUUUUGCACAAAACACACUUGUUCCAAUCCGUCUGUACCGGCGCCUUUGAUGGUCCAGGUUGCAGUGGAUCCACUAGCUGAUAACUGUUGGACAUGUCUCCAUUCCCAACACCUACAAGCAACUAACCACCACCUCUACAACUACUGCGAUCUGCGAUCUGGCGCAGGCAAAGAGAACCCCUUCACGCUUGUUCCUUCUCGCUCUCUCCCUCUCAAAAGUUGUACACGACCCAUGUGCUGUUCUUGGCAAUUAUUUCCAUGAGCUUUCAGUAGGCUAAUGCAAAAAUGUAGAAGGAUUAAAAGUUAAUGAAUUCAUUGAAAACAAAGUUUGAUUUCUUCUGUUCUUCAUUUUUCAACUGAGUAAAGAUAAAGCAGAAGACCGAGUGCAGUACACGACUGUUAAAAUAAUAGCAUAUGAGGACAUUUGUAUAAGGAAUUUAAUGAAGAGAAUCCCUUAAAUUAGUGUUAGGGGUCAAAUGUAAGACUCGCAAGCUCGCAAGUAGUAUCCCCCCUAAACUUUAAAAAUCCCCCCUAUGUGGAGCUCUUAAGGGGGGAAUCCCCCCAUUUUGAAAUUUUUAACUUAAGCCCUGAAGUUGUGAUCAUUUGGUGAUUGAAAUGAUAGCCUAUAUACGUAUCUAGAGUAAUUUCAUAAGAACAUAAUGAAGCAUUUGUGUCGUCUGGUAAAAUAUAUUUGCGGUCAAAACGUCCUAUGGUAGCCAUGGCUACCAUAGGACGUUUUCGCGGUGGCUCCAUAUCUGGAAUUAUUCAUUAGACUAUUAUAUAUGACUGUGCCAAAUUUCAUGCUUGUACGUAUAAACCCACAAUUCUUAUGUAUGGAUGCACCUAUCUGCCUGAAAUUGGUUCCUGAGUAACAUUGACUUAUAAACUAAUUUGUUACUAUUAAACUAUUUUAUCUGGUCAAGGAUAUUACAUCUGGUAAGGUUUAUUUUAUUUCACUUUAAAAUUGGUAGGUGGCAUGAUUGUUUUUUUUGCCAUGCAUUUGGUUGUUUUUAAUUCAGUAUUUGACAGUAUUGUGACAUUCUGCACAGCGAGACAGAUUGUUUUUAUAGCAAAUUAUAUUUUGCCCAUAAAUGUCUCCUUGGUCCUCUUUACCACACCACUACAUACAGUACUUUAAUGUUUAAACAUAUAGGGCCCUAUCUUGCAUCCGGCGCAAGUGACUUAGUCACUGGCGCAUGUGUCGUUGCUAGUUUACAACUGGCGCAGAGCGUUCUUUUCCCACCACCGCCACUCGCCGGUAAAUUAGGGAUUGAUCAUGCGCCCCAAGGGGCGGUUCGGCGGAAGGAGGAGGCAUGUUCUGGCGCAAACGGUAUUUUGCCGUUUCUCAAUACCAUUGCGCUACUGACCAGGAAAUACCUGGUUUAAAGUCAGUGGCGCGUUGUUCAGAUGCUAUUUUAAGGGCGCAUGCAUACAUGCGCAUGCGAUGCAUACGGAUUGCUUGUGCACCUCGCGCAUACACUUUGCCUCUCCCAUCUACCUAGCCGCACAUUCUUGGUAAAUUAUUUGGGAAAGAACAGCUGAUGCAGCGGUAAUAAGUUGUACUUUUAAAUCAAUGCAUCUGCAAACACCGUACAGCAAACACAUAUUUUCUUGACAGAGACAUCGUGUAGGCCUACAUGCCCAUAACUUUUAGGAUUGAUGAGUAUUUGAUCGUGAAAAACAUUGUUUUACCGCGAGUGAGUGUUAAAAAGAAUGAAUGAAUGCGGGCGCGCGUGUGUGCUGUUUAAACACACGCAAACGAAACCCGUAACGCAUAAUACAAUCAAUGGCAAUGUCUAUUACCGCGGGGACACAUCAUGCAUAUUAGGAUAGCAGACAAUACUGAUAAGAAACAGUUUAUAAUGUAUUGCGUAUAUCAUUAAAUAGAACCACAGUUACCGCAUAUCAUAUGUUAUAUCAUAUACGUUUUCUUUGCCGAAAUUUAUUUGAGGACUCAGUAUUUCUGAAGUUGUGGAAGAAAACCCCUUAUUCCAUGUGUGAAUUAGGCCAUAUUAUUUGGCAAUAAACUGAGCCAUUUGCAGUUUGAAAUUCAUGUGCAUCUGUCUCAUCGGAGACUGCAGACGCGCUGUCAAAAUAUCAACUCGUCCGAUUCAAAUGCAUUCAUGGCUCUUAAAGGGGAUGGGAGCUGGCACUCUCAUUGGUUUGUUGGACGUUACGCCCAAACCACACCUACGGGUAACUAGGCUGCUUCAGACCAACCCUUUUGACACUUGCGCCGCGACGCAAGUGUCAUUUAUCCGCCUGUAAAAUAGCGAUAGCGCCGUAGAACCGCCCACAAAGCUACUUGCGCUUCCCACUUGCGUUUCAGACCGUUAAAAUAGGGCCCAUAGAUGUUUAUGAAGGAAUUAUUGGCCUGAACAUUGUAUUGGUAAAUUUGUUGUGUUCAAGCUAAAUUAUUCAUGUUAGAACAAUAUGAACAAACCUGGGAGUGGAUCAACAAUGUGUAAAAAUAACAGCUUAGUUUAUGGAAUUAACAGACAUAUUAGAGGGGUGCUUUGAGAGGACCAAAUUAAUUGUAGCUAUUUUUAUGUGAAAUGUCAAUGUAUUUAUUAUACAGUGUAAGGGCUUCCUUUGACACCUGCAGUAAGGGAUCACCGGGAGCUAGUAGUGUACAGUUUUUCUGUUAAUAUAACACUGAGAUUGUUCAUAUUUGAAAAUGUGUCAGUAAGCAAACAUCAGCAUGGCUGACAGUUGUGGCAGGGUGGUGUUAGACAUGCUAAUGCAUCGUUUUAAUCUCUGCUUUCACGCAGCAGUCCCCCAUUAACCAACAACUUAUGCAAUAAACCCCUUUCAGCUUGGUCAUUAAAGUCUUUCACCCUGGUCAGUACCCCUCUCUCAUGGCCACACAGUUGUCACUACAUUCAAAUGAUGGUGGUAGAAUUCUCUGAAUUCUGACCAUUUGUAUUUAAUGAAAUGUACUCUGUGAAGUCAAUAAAUAGGUCAAAUAUUUAUUUUUUUUCUUUGAAAAUAAGGAAGUCAGAUUUGUAAAUGAUUGUGUACAAUUAACUGAUGAAAAAACAUAACCCACUACCAUUCAUGGUCAAUCAAGGGAAUACCAGUAGAGUAAUCUUUCUUUUUUUUCCUUGCCCUUCACAGAAUGGACACCAUAUUCGUUUUAGUUUGUACAAGACUAAGAACAUGGCCACUUUGCCAUUUCCGCUAAAGCCAAGACAGACCAAAGGUUUACCUUUGUAAAUACGAACCUGUAGGUGUGGCUUAUUUACCAUUCCGCCCAUACCCCAUAUAAACUGUUCUCUUACCUGUGUUCGAGAGAUGCUUCAUGAACCGCCUCCAGAACACAAGCUUGUUUACCUUGUAUUUGUUGGAAUAAACCACUUUUUAUUUACCA